AUUAUGUCCCUAUCCCAAGCCCAGACUGAGAUUCCUAGCUUUGCUUUGAAUCCACAUGGAUCAGCCCCCUUCAGCCCAGAUUGCACUGGACUGGGACUCCAGACUUCUUCGCAGGCAGCUGGUGAUAUAAAACUGGAGGUCAGGAAAGAAGUUAGAACUCUCUAAACAGACUUGGGAAUUAGCUGCGGAGAUGACAAGUGGAUCCAAGGUUGCUGAUGAGCUCCGGGAAUGAGAAGUAAAGAAGAAAAGAGGACCAAGGGCAAACCGUGAAAAAAUGCUAGUCAUAUUUUAAUAACUUAUGCAGUUGGUUUUGUAAUUUUAUAGAGAAAAGAGGCCAGGGUUGGUACAAGUUAAGGCCCGCCAGCCCUGACUGAUGCAGGCACCCAUCUUGAAAACAUGACAGUUCUCUAUAAGCUUGGAGUAAACCAUAUCAUUUCUGUCGUCGCUCUAACUCUGCAGGCUUCUCUCUAACUUCAUUGAAUCCCAGGAAUCAUCUACAUAGAUUUGGGAAUUCUCCUGGAGCUUUAAUUCUCUUGAUUGAUGGGUGGGUGAAAACCUACCUUACUCACUACAUCUAGUUGUUCCAUGUCCUACUCGUCUACAUAAAUAGAUUUAUUGCCACCUGGCCUGCCUCAUUUUCCUCUUUUUUUUCCCCCUAGAGGGAGCUUGUUGGUUCAGCUGACAGACGGCUGAACGUGGAAUCUGGAACACUUGGGUUCAAAUCUAACCUUAGACAUUUGCUAGCUCUACAACCCUAGAC
ensembl:lncRNA